GACGAACGCUGGCGGCGUGCCUAAUACAUGCCAGUAGAACGCACAGUUUAUACCGUAGCUUGCUACACCAUACACUGUGAGUUGCGAACGGGUGAGUAACGCGUAGGUAACCUGCCUGGUAGCGGGGGAUAACUAUUGGAAACGAUAGCUAAUACCGCAUAAUAUUGAUUAUUGCAUGAUAAUUGAUUGAAAGAUGCUAUUGCAUCACUACCAGAUGGACCUGCGUUGUAUUAGCUAGUAGGUGAGGUAACGGCUCACCUAGGCGACGAUACAUAGCCGACCUGAGAGGGUGAUCGGCCACACUGGGACUGAGACACGGCCCAGACUCCUACGGGAGGCAGCAGUAGGGAAUCUUCGGCAAUGGACGAAAGUCUGACCGAGCAACGCCGCGUGAGUGAAGAAGGUUGUCGGAUCGUAAAGCUCUGUUGUAAGAGAAGAACGGGUGUGAGAGUGGAAAGUUCACACUGUGACGGUAGCUUACCAGAAAGGGACGGCUAACUACGUG
rnacentral:rRNA from 1 species